AUGUCGCGACUAGCGAAGUUGAACUUAAUCCCUAGUUUCACCACUGUCAAGGGAUCUAAGUGUCAAGUGUGUGUGCAAGCUAAGCAACCUCGUAAGUCUCACACGACUGCGGAAACGAGAAAUCUUGCACCACUCGAGCUCAUACAUUCAGAUCUAUGUGAAAUGAAUGGUGUUUUGACAAAAGGUGGAAAGAAAUAUUUCAUGACAUUAAUUGACGACUCCACUAGAUAUUGCCGUGUGUAUCUUCUGAAAUCUAAGGAUGAGGCUUUGAACUUUUUCAAGAUCUAUAAAGCUGAAGUGGAAAACCAACUUGAUCAAAAAAUCAAGAGGCUUAGGUCCGACCGUGGUGGAGAGUAUUUUUCCAAUGAAUUUGAUGCUUUUUGUGCGGAACAUGGUAUAAUCCAUGAGAGGACGCCUCCCUACUCACCUCAGUCAAAUGGGGUGGCCGAAAGAAAGAACCGUACUCUAACUGAUUUGGUUAACGCCAUGUUAGACACAUCGGGUCUCUCCAAGGCAUGGUGGGGGGAGGCGAUAUUGACGGCAUGUCAUUGUCCUAAACAAAGAGAUAACUCCAUUCGAGGAAUGGGAGAAGAAAAGGUUAAAACUCUCUUAUCUGCGAACAUGGGGUUGUUUGGCGAAAGUCAAUGUUCCAAUUCCAAAGAAGCGGAAGCUUGGACCAAAGACUGUGGAUUGUGUUUUCCUGGGAUAUGCUUUUCAUAG
rnacentral:rRNA from 1 species